AGUGAAUGCUGGCGGUAGGCCUAACACAUGCAAGUCGAACGGCAGCACAGUAAGAGCUUGCUCUUACGGGUGGCGAGUGGCGGACGGGUGAGGAAUACAUCGGAAUCUACUUUUUCGUGGGGGAUAACGUAGGGAAACUUACGCUAAUACCGCAUACGACCUACGGGUGAAAGCAGGGGAUCUUCGGACCUUUCGCGAUUGAAUGAGCCGAUGUCGGAUUAGCUAGUUGGCGGGGUAAAGGCCCACCAAGGCGACGAUCCGUAGCUGGUCUGAGAGGAUGAUCAGCCACACUGGAACUGAGACACGGUCCAGACUCCUACGGGAGGCAGCAGUGGGGAAUAUUGGACAAUGGGCGCAAGCCUGAUCCAGCCAUACCGCGUGGGUGAAGAAGGCCUUCGGGUUGUAAAGCCCUUUUGUUGGGAAAGAAAAGCAGCAGGUUAAUACCCCGCUGUUCUGACGGUACCCAAAGAAUAAGCACCGGCUAACUUCGUG
rnacentral:rRNA from 1 species